CAUGGCUCAGGAUGAACGCUAGCUACAGGCUUAACACAUGCAAGUCGAGGGGCAGCAUGUUGGUUGCUUGCAACCAAUGAUGGCGACCGGCGCACGGGUGAGUAACGCGUAUCCAACCUACCCAAUACUCAGGCAUAACCCGUUGAAAGACGGACUAAUUCCUGAUGGUAUGUAUUUCUCUCAUGAGUUAUACAUUAAAGAAUUUCGGUAUUGGAUGGGGAUGCGUCUGAUUAGUUUGUUGGUGGGGUAACGGCUCACCAAGACUUCGAUCAGUAGGGGUUCUGAGAGGAAGGUCCCCCACAUUGGAACUGAGACACGGUGGGGGGGGCUACGG
rnacentral:rRNA from 1 species